rnacentral:rRNA from 1 species
UGCAAGUCGAGCGAACAGAUAAGGAGCUUGCUCCUUUGACGUUAGCGGCGGACGGGUGAGUAACACGUGGGUAACCUACCUAUAAGACUGGGAUAACUUCGGGAAACCGGAGCUAAUACCGGAUAACAUUUGGAACCGCAUGGUUCUAAAGUGAAAGAUGGUUUUGCUAUCACUUAUAGAUGGACCCGCGCCGUAUUAGCUAGUUGGUAAGGUAACGGCUUACCAAGGCGACGAUACGUAGCCGACCUGAGAGGGUGAUCGGCCACACUGGAACUGAGACACGGUCCAGACUCCUACGGGAGGCAGCAGUAGGGAAUCUUCCGCAAUGGGCGAAAGCCUGACGGAGCAACGCCGCGUGAGUGAUGAAGGGUUUCGGCUCGUAAAACUCUGUUAUUAGGGAAGAACAAAUGUGUAAGUAACUGUGCACGUCUUGACGGUACCUAAUCAGAAAGCCACGGCUAACUACGUGCCAGCAGCCGCGGUAAUACGUAGGUGGCAAGCGUUAUCCGGAAUUAUUGGGCGUAAAGCGCGCGUAGGCGGUUUCUUAAGUCUGAUGUGAAAGCCCACGGCUCAACCGUGGAGGGUCAUUGGAAACUGGGAAACUUGAGUGCAGAAGAGGAAAGUGGAAUUCCAUGUGUAGCGGUGAAAUGCGCAGAGAUAUGGAGGAACACCAGUGGCGAAGGCGACUUUCUGGUCUGUAACUGACGCUGAUGUGCGAAAGCGUGGGGAUCAAACAGGAUUAGAUACCCUGGUAGUCCACGCCGUAAACGAUGAGUGCUAAGUGUUAGGGGGUUUCCGCCCCUUAGUGCUGCAGCUAACGCAUUAAGCACUCCGCCUGGGGAGUACGACCGCAAGGUUGAAACUCAAAGGAAUUGACGGGGACCCGCACAAGCGGUGGAGCAUGUGGUUUAAUUCGAAGCAACGCGAAGAACCUUACCAAAUCUUGACAUCCUUUGAAAACUCUAGAGAUAGAGCCUUCCCCUUCGGGGGACAAAGUGACAGGUGGUGCAUGGUUGUCGUCAGCUCGUGUCGUGAGAUGUUGGGUUAAGUCCCGCAACGAGCGCAACCCUUAAGCUUAGUUGCCAUCAUUAAGUUGGGCACUCUAAGUUGACUGCCGGUGACAAACCGGAGGAAGGUGGGGAUGACGUCAAAUCAUCAUGCCCCUUAUGAUUUGGGCUACACACGUGCUACAAUGGACAAUACAAAGGGCAGCUAAACCGCGAGGUCAUGCAAAUCCCAUAAAGUUGUUCUCAGUUCGGAUUGUAGUCUGCAACUCGACUACAUGAAGCUGGAAUCGCUAGUAAUCGUAGAUCAGCAUGCUACGGUGAAUACGUUCCCGGGUCUUGUACACACCGCCCGUCACACCACGAGAGUUUGUAACACCCGAAGCCGGUGGAGUAACCAUUUAUGGAGCUAGCCGUCGAA